UCGAACGAGUUCUCGUUGAUGAUCGGUGCUUGCACCGAGAUUCAACAUGGAACGAGUGGCGGACGGGUGAGUAACGCGUGGGUAACCUGCCCUUAAGUGGGGGAUAACAUUUGGAAACAGAUGCUAAUACCGCAUAGAUCCAAGAACCGCAUGGUUCUUGGCUGAAAGAUGGCGUAAGCUAUCGCUUUUGGAUGGACCCGCGGCGUAUUAGCUAGUUGGUGAGGUAAUGGCUCACCAAGGCGAUGAUACGUAGCCGAACUGAGAGGUUGAUCGGCCACAUUGGGACUGAGACACGGCCCAAACUCCUACGGGAGGCAGCAGUAGGGAAUCUUCCACAAUGGACGCAAGUCUGAUGGAGCAACGCCGCGUGAGUGAAGAAGGCUUUCGGGUCGUAAAACUCUGUUGUUGGAGAAGAAUGGUCGGCAGAGUAACUGUUGUCGGCGUGACGGUAUCCAACCAGAAAGCCACGGCUAACUACGUGCCAGCAGCCGCGGUAAUACGUAGGUGGCAAGCGUUAUCCGGAUUUAUUGGGCGUAAAGCGAGCGCAGGCGGUUUUUUAAGUCUGAUGUGAAAGCCCUCGGCUUAACCGAGGAAGCGCAUCGGAAACUGGGAAACUUGAGUGCAGAAGAGGACAGUGGAACUCCAUGUGUAGCGGUGAAAUGCGUAGAUAUAUGGAAGAACACCAGUGGCGAAGGCGGCUGUCUGGUCUGUAACUGACGCUGAGGCUCGAAAGCAUGGGUAGCGAACAGGAUUAGAUACCCUGGUAGUCCAUGCCGUAAACGAUGAAUGCUAGGUGUUGGAGGGUUUCCGCCCUUCAGUGCCGCAGCUAACGCAUUAAG
rnacentral:rRNA from 1 species